GGCAGGCAGCAGUAGGGAAUCUUCCACAAUGGGCGCAAGCCUGAUGGAGCAACACCGCGUGAGUGAAGAAGGGUUUCGGCUCGUAAAGCUCUGUUGUUGGAGAAGAACGUGCGUGAGAGUAACUGUUCACGCAGUGACGGUAUCCAACCAGAAAGUCACGGCUAACUACGUGCCAGCAGCCGCGGUAAUACGUAGGUGGCAAGCGUUAUCCGGAUUUAUUGGGCGUAAAGCGAGCGCAGGCGGUUGCUUAGGUCUGAUGUGAAAGCCUUCGGCUUAACCGAAGAAGUGCAUCGGAAACCGGGCGACUUGAGUGCAGAGGAGGACAGUGGAACUCCAUGUGUAGCGGUGGAAUGCGUAGAUAUAUGGAAGACCACCAGUGGCGAAGGCGGCUGUCUGGUCUGCAACUGACGCUGAGGCUCGAAAGCAUGGGUAGCGAACAGGAUUAGAUACCCUGGUAGUCCAUGCCGUAAACGAUGAGUGGUAGGUGUUGGAGGGUUUCCGCCCUUCA
rnacentral:rRNA from 1 species